rnacentral:rRNA from 1 species
AUUGAACGCUGGCGGCAGGCCUAACACAUGCAAGUCGAGCGAGCGGCGGACGGGUGGGUAAUGUAUGUGGCCCUGCCUGAUAGAGGGGGAUAACUAGUGGAAACGGUGGCUAAUACCGCCUACCAUCGGCUGAUCCCAUAUUGGAUUAGCUAGUAGGUGGGGUAAAGGCUCACCUAGGCGACGAUCUCUAGCUGGUCUGAGAGGAUGAUCAGCCACACUGGGACUGAGACACGGCCCAGACUCCUACGGGAGGCAGCAGUGGGGAAUAUUGCACAAUGGGCGCAAGCCUGAUGCAGCCAUGCCGCGUGUAUGAAGAAGGCCUUAGGGUUGUAAAGUACUUUCAGCGGGGAGGCGUUACCCGCAGAAGAAGCACCGGCUAACUCCGUGCCAGCCGCCGCGGUAAUAC